AUUGCCAAGUGUAUUGCUUGAGAGAGUGUAGAGAUUAGAGAGAGAGACUAAGGCAUUUAAUGCCAUAUAUUCUCAAAGAUUAGCAAAUCUUUCAUAAGAUUACCAAAUCAAUUCAUAUCUUCCAAAGCAAUUCUCUCUCCCUCCACCCCCAUUCGACACUCACUCUCUCUCCCUCAUCUCUCACAUUUCCUCCAUUGUCAACCAUUAACGAGACCUUCAAAGCUUCACGAAAGUAUGCCAAACACAUAAAUCACCAUCAAAACCUUACCUAAACACCUCCCAUCUACUUGAAUCCAAGGAGAUCCUUGAAGAUUGGCCUCAAAGCUAGAGAGAGAAAGUUUGAUAUUUGGUGUAAAGUUUGGGUCCGGGCGACAGGAAGUGAAGCCGAAGAAGAAGCGACUCCACGCUAGCUUAAGAACGUUUGAGGUUGAGUAGCUGAUGGAAUGGAAUGGUGUUGAGCGGGUGUUCCUUUGAUCAUUUCAAGAAAUGUAACCUUGAGUAUACAUCUUCAUAUGUAUAUCUCACACGUUUUCCGCUGCAAAACACUUUGAUUAGGAUAACUCUAUGUUAUGAAGUUGUGACACGUGAUAUUGGAUAAACCACUUUAAUCAGUUCUCCUUUAUGUGUAUGUUUCAUAAGUAUCCAAAUGAUCAUAUAUGAUCCUAGCAUUUUAUCUAUGAGUGACAUUUCCAUAUACUUUAAUGUUAAGUAAUUGUCCAUUUCCGUUCCCA